rnacentral:rRNA from 1 species
CUACGGGAUGCUGCAGUGAGGAAUAUUGCACAAUGGGGGAAACCCUGAUGCAGCAACGCCGCGUGGAGGAUGACGCAUUUCGGUGUGUAAACUCCUUUUAUAUGUCAAGAAAAUGACGGUAGCAUAUGAAUAAGCACCGGCUAACUCCGUGCCAGCAGCCGCGGUAAUACGGAGGGUGCAAGCGUUAUUCGGAAUCACUGGGCGUAAAGGAAGCGUAGGCGGGUUUGUAAGUCAGGUGUGAAAUCCUACAGCUUAACUGUAGAACUGCACUUGAAACUACUAACCUAGAGUAUGGGAGGGGGAGAUGGAAUUAGUGGUGUAGGGGUAAAAUCCGUAGAUAUCACUAGGAAUACCUAAAGCGAAGGCGAUCUCCUGGAACAUUACUGACGCUAAGGCGUGAAAGCGUGGGGAGCAAACAGGAUUAGAUACCCUUGUAGUC